rnacentral:rRNA from 1 species
CUACGGGAGGCAGCAGUGGGGAAUUUUGGACAAUGGGGGCAACCCUGAUCCAGCCAUCCCGCGUGUGCGAUGAAGGCCUUCGGGUUGUAAAGCACUUUUGGCAGGGAAGAAACGGCCUGGGAUAAUACCCUGGGCAACUGACGGUACCUGCAGAAUAAGCACCGGCUAACUACGUGCCAGCAGCCGCGGUAAUACGUAGGGUGCAAGCGUUAAUCGGAAUUACUGGGCGUAAAGCGUGCGCAGGCGGUUCGGAAAGAAAGGUGUGAAAUCCCAGGGCUUAACCUUGGAACUGCACUUUUAACUACCGGGCUAGAGUACGUCAGAGGGGGGUAGAAUUCCACGUGUAGCAGUGAAAUGCGUAGAGAUGUGGAGGAAUACCGAUGGCGAAGGCAGCCCCCUGGGAUGAUACUGACGCUCAUGCACGAAAGCGUGGGGAGCAAACAGGAUUAGAUACCCUGGUAGUCCACGCCCUAAACGAUGUCAACUAGCUGUUGGGGUUUAUUA